ACCGGUCGUUGAGAUACUGGUUUGAAUACGGUUUACGAAUCUCAAGGGGAAGAGAAGAAAAUGGCUUUUAUAUACAUUCUCUUUUAGAUCCGUUUUCUCUCUUUCAAACAAUGGCGUCUUCUCGCUGUGAGCUACUUGUGAUCUGUGUCUUGUCUCUCUUCUUUGUUUUUGCUCACUCCAAGACGUUGAAGCGUGAUGUGAAAGCUUUGAAUGAAAUAAAAGCCUCUUUGGGAUGGAGAGUGGUGUAUUCAUGGGUUGGUGAUGAUCCUUGUGGAGAUGGAGACCUUCCUCCUUGGUCUGGUGUCACCUGUUCCACACAAGGUGACUAUAGGGUUGUCACAGAACUAGAAGUUUACGCAGUUUCUAUUGUUGGACCUUUCCCCAUUGCAGUAACAAACCUUUUGGACUUGACUAGACUGGAUCUACAUAACAACAAGCUGACUGGUCCAAUCCCACCACAGAUUGGGCGACUAAAACGGCUCAAAGUACUGAACCUGAGGUGGAAUAAGCUACAAGAUGUGAUUCCUCCUGAGAUUGGAGAGCUGAAGAGGCUAACACAUCUGUACUUGAGCUUCAAUAGCUUCAAAGGAGAGAUUCCAAAGGAACUAGCUUCCCUUCCGGAGCUUCGCUAUUUAUAUCUUCAAGAAAACCGUCUCAUUGGUAGAAUACCUGCUGAGCUAGGGACGCUUCAGAACCUCCGCCACCUAGAUGUUGGUAACAAUCACUUGGUGGGAACUAUAAGGGAGCUUAUUCGUUUUGAUGGUAGCUUCCCAGCUCUUCGCAACCUGUACUUGAAUAAUAACUAUUUGAGUGGAGGCAUCCCUGCUCAGCUAUCUAAACUUACGAACUUAGAGAUUGUGUACCUGUCUUACAACAAGUUCAUUGGAAACAUUCCUUUUGCCAUUUCUCAUAUUCCUAAGUUGACAUUCCUGUAAGUAUCUUGAUCACAACCAGUUUACUGGGAGGAUCCCGGACGCAUUCUACAAGCAUCCAUUCCUCAAAGAAAUGUACAUUGAAGGCAACAUGUUCAAACAAGGUGCAAACUCAAUUGGCACACACAUAGUUCUAGAAGUUUCUGAUUCCGAUUUUGUCGUGUGAUAGAAGAUUCUAGGAGAAUCUAGAGAGAACAAAGUCUCUGAACUACCUAGAGAUGGUUCCACUUUAGCCUACUUUAUUACACUAGAGAGAACAAAGUCUCUGAACAAAUUCAUUGUUUUGUCUCUAGACUGUUCUUCUAUCUAGCUCUUCGUUUGUCAGACUUGUUUCUAAGACUCUUGUGUUUAAACUCUUGUAGUGUUUUUGACAAAAAUAAAUAAAACAAACUAACAUCUUUAACAAAAAUUGUAAAACAAAAACAAAGAAAAAAUAUUAACAAAACUAAUAAAAAGCUCAUAUGUUAACAUGUGGCUCAACAUAAAAAUAAAAUUUGAUAUGCAAUAAUUCAAAACAAUUUUUUUUUUUAAAACAACUUAAAAUACAAAAAUUAAACACAUUUUUCAUAAAAUAUGUAUA